UACGUAGGGGGCAAGCGUUGUUCGGAUUCAUUGGGCGUAAAGGGUGUGUAGGUGGCGCCGUAAGUCGGGUGUGAAAUUUCGGAGCUUAACUCCGAAACUGCAUUCGAUACUGCUGUGCUUGAGGACUGGAGAGGAGACUGGAAUUCCUGGUGUAGCGGUGAAAUGCGCAGAUAUCAGGAGGAACACCGGUGGCGAAGGCGGGUCUCUGGGCAGUAACUGACGCUGAGGAGCGAAAGCGUGGGGAGCGAACAGG
rnacentral:rRNA from 1 species